rnacentral:rRNA from 1 species
CAGUCGCCACGGGAAUACGGAGGGUGCAAGCGUUAAUCGGAAUUACUGGGCGUAAAGCGCACGCAGGCGGUUUGUUAAGUCAGAUGUGAAAUCCCCGAGCUUAACUUGGGAACUGCAUUUGAAACUGGCAAGCUAGAGUCUUGUAGAGGGGGGUAGAAUUCCAGGUGUAGCGGUGAAAUGCGUAGAGAUCUGGAGGAAUACCGGUGGCGAAGGCGGCCCCCUGGACAAAGACUGACGCUCAGGUGCGAAAGCGUGGGGAGCAAACAGGAUUAGAUACCCGGGUAGUCCCUGUCUCUUAUAC